UUUUGGAAAAAAAAAUAUGCAAUAUAAAUUAUGUAUUAGUGUAUUUAAAAUAAUUUUUUUUCUUCAGUAGUAUCUGGAAAAAAAUUUUAAGAAGAAGUUUCUAAAGAAAUAGUAUCCAAAACGCUUCAAGCAAGAUGCACUGUCAGCAAAAUUACUGAAAAAUGCUCCCACGUGGACGCUUUUUUUUACAGUGGUAUCUGAGAAAAUAAUUUUGAGAAGACGUUUCUGAAAAAAUAGUGUAAAAAACGCUUUAAGCAGGAUGGACUGUCAGCAAAAGUACUGAAAAAAGCUCCCACGUGGAGCUCUUUUGAUACAGUAUAUCUGAAAAAAAUAAUUGUGAAAUGACCUUUUUGAACAAAUAGUGUCAAAAAUGCUUCAUGCAGUAUGUACUUUCAGCAAAAUUACUGAGAAA
rnacentral:lncRNA from 1 species